AUGGCUUCACUUUGAGAAUACGGUUCUGCUUGCACAAAUACUAUGAUGUUUGUGUCGGGCUGUUUCAAGUGGAGCUAGAAAUUGUUCCCCUCGCUAUCCGAUGAGUCAUUUUAUGGUUCAUCUGGACGUUGGGGAACCACAUUC